rnacentral:rRNA from 1 species
UUCCUUAAGAAAAAAUUUAAGGUAAAACCUGCUCAAUGAAACUUUAAAUAGCCGCAGUAAUUACUGUGCUAAGGUAGCAUAAUCAUUUGCUUUUUAAUUGAAAGAUAGAAUGAAUGGUUCAACGAAGUAAAAACUAUAUAGUUAAUAAUCAUUAAAAUUAAUUUAUCAGUAAAAAAGCUGCUAAACAAUAUAAAGACGACAAGACCCUGACAAACUAAUAUUUUUAGCUGGGGCGGCACUUCAAAAAAACCUUAUUUUCAACUAAACAUAUAACUAUUAUAAAUAAUUAAAAUUCUAAGUUACUGCAGGGAUAACAGCGCUACUUCUUUUAAGAGCUCUAAUCUAAAAAGAAAUCUACGACCUCGAUGUUGAAUUAUUUACUCUAUUUGUGGCGCAAAAGCCUAAGUAAAGAUGGUCUGUUCGACCAAUAAUAAAAU